rnacentral:rRNA from 1 species
AACGAACGCUGGCGGCAUGCCUAACACAUGCAAGUCGAACGAGACCUUCGGGUCUAGUGGCGCACGGGUGCGUAACGCGUGGGAACCUGCCCUUAGGUUCGGAAUAACUCCCCGAAAGGGGUGCUAAUACCGGAUAAUGUCUUCGGACCAAAGAUUUAUCGCCUUUGGAUGGGCCCGCGUUGGAUUAGCUAGUUGGUAGGGUAAAAGCCUACCAAGGCGACGAUCCAUAGCUGCUCUGAGAGGAUGAUCAGCCACACUGGGACUGAGACACGGCCCAGACUCCUACGGGAGGCAGCAGUGGGGAAUAUUGGACAAUGGGCGAAAGCCUGAUCCAGCAAUGCCGCGUGAGUGAUGAAGGCCUUAGGGUUGUAAAGCUCUUUUACCCGGGAUGAUAAUGACAGUACCGGGAGAAUAAGCUCCGGCUAACUCCGUG